CCCUAUGGGGUGCAGCAGGCAGGAAACCUUUACAAUGCGCGCAAGCGUGAUAAGGGAAUCCCGAGUGCUUGUACUUAGUACAGGCUUUUGUUAAGUGUAAAUAGCUUAGCGAAUAAGUGGUGGGAAAGACUGGUGCCAGCCGCCGCGGUAACACCAGCGCCACAAGUGGUGAUCGUUUUUAUUGGGUCUAAAGCGUCCGUAGCAGGUAAUGCAAAUCUUUUGUGAAAUUGUUGGGCUUAACUCAACAACGUGCAAGAGACACUACGUUACUAGAGACUGGGAGGAGACAGAAGUAUGCUGUGGGGAGCGGUAAAAUGUUAUAAUCCACAGUAGACUACCUAUGGCGAAGGCAUCUGUCUAGAACGGUUCUGACUGUGAGGGACGAAAGCUGGGGGAGCAAACUGGAUUAGAUACCCAAGUAGUCCUAGCUGUAAACGCUGCGAGCCAUGUAUUGCAUAUUCUUUGUGGAUGUGCAGUGCUGUAACGAAGGUGUUAAGCUCGCCACCUGGGAAGUACGGUCGCAAGGCUGAAACUUAAAGAAAUUGGCGGGGGAGCACUACAAGGGGUGCGACGUGCGGUUCAAUCUAACUCCACACAGAGAAUCUCACCAGCAGCGACGGCAGGAUGAAGGUCAGAUUAAAGGUUUUACCUGACGAGCCGAGAAGAAGUGCAUGGCC
rnacentral:rRNA from 1 species